ACUUCCAUUGAGAGGUUUUGAUGAUGAAAUGAGGGCAGCAGUCGCACGGAAUCUGGAAGGAAGGGGAAUUGAUCUACACCCACAGACAAAUUUGACAGAGUUGAUAAAAACAGAGGAUGGCAUAAAAGUUAUCACGGAUCAUGGUGAAGAACUGAUAGCAGAUGUUGUACUGUUUGCCACUGGUAACUACAGACCUAUUUAGUUGUGUUUCUGAUAAUGGGGUUGGAAGUUAAUGCUACUUGUUACAAAUUGUAACUAAGUAAAGAAAAAAAUUAAUUAAAAACCACGAGCUCGUGCCUAGGCCAAAAAGAAAUUACUUUCAGUUUUUUUCAAUAUUUGAAUUGUGAAAUCGGAACUGGGACCUUCUGCUGAACACUGCAAUCCUUGGGAGGCAGGAAACUGUAGCAAAUAGCUAGGUAGGUACCUUAGGAACUGAACUCCAGGCCUCGUGGGAGCAAACCACAGGCCUCACCACUCGGCUAAACCCUCGGUGAUAGUCAGCCUGUCCCAUUUGAACACUUUAAUUAUGUAUUUACUCUUCUGUUGGUUGGAUAUAUUCCGCUAUGGUUUUAGCAAUUCACAUUGCAUCUUACAAGCCUUGGAUAAGACUCCCUUGUUGCCAAUGUUUUGAACAGCAUCUAGGGUUCCCUCCUUUGCUGGGUAAAGCAAUGUCAUUGGUCAUGGCUUGAUAUUGAGCUGUCCUGUUUAGCUUUUUUUUUCUUUUAUCUAAAUAAUUGUAUAAGUCACCCAGUGUUACAAUAGUGAAAACCUUUUCCUUUUCA